rnacentral:tRNA from 1 species
CAAAAGCCCCUCGCUUACACCCAGGAAAUAUCUGUUUAACCCGGAUCAUUUUGA